rnacentral:siRNA from 1 species
GUGGUGCUGGAUAUGGAAGUAGAG